AACGAACGCUGGCGGCAGGCUUAACACAUGCAAGUCGAACGCACCGCAAGGUGAGUGGCAGACGGGUGAGUAACACGUGGGGAUCUGCCCAAUGGUACGGAAUAGCUCCGGGAAACUGGAAUUAAUUCCGUAUGAGCCCGCAAGGGGAAAGAUUUAUCGCCAUUGGAUGAACCCGCGUCGGAUUAGCUAGUUGGUGUGGUAAAGGCGCACCAAGGCGACGAUCCGUAGCUGGUCUGAGAGGAUGAUCAGCCACACUGUGACUGAGACACGGCCCAGACUCCUACGGGAGGCAGCAGUGGGGAAUAUUGGACAAUGGGCGCAAGCCUGAUCCAGCCAUGCCGCGUGAGUGAUGAAGGCCUUAGGGUUGUAAAGCUCUUUCGCCGACGAAGAUAAUGACGGUAGUCGGAGAAGAAGCCCCGGCUAACUUCGUGCCAGCAGCCGCAGUAAAAC
rnacentral:rRNA from 1 species